GUCUCCUUAGUUCAAUGGAUAGAACGUCUCACUCCUAACGAGACGAUCCAGGUUCGAUUCCUGGAGGGGACA
rnacentral:tRNA from 1 species